ensembl:piRNA 21ur-2715 ncRNA
UAAAGAUCAAAAGCACAUAUU